rnacentral:rRNA from 1 species
AUUGAACGCUGGCGGCAGGCCUAACACAUGCAAGUCGAGCGAGCGGCGGACGGGGGAGAAAUGUGUGGGGACUCUCCGAGAGGGGGGGAUAACUACAGGAAACGGUAGCUAAUACCGCAUACUAUCGGAUAACCCAUAUGGGAUGAGCUAGUAGGUGGGGUAAUGGCUCACCUAGGCGACGAUCCCUAGCUGGUCUGAGAGGAUGAGCAGCCACACUGGAACUGAGACACGGCCCAGACUCCUACGGAGGCAGCAGUGGGGAAUAUUGAACAAUGGGCGCAAGCCUGAUGCAGCCAUGCCGCGUGUAUGAAGAAGGCCCUAGGGUUGUAAAGUACUUUCAGUCGGGAGGCGUUACCCGCAGAAGAAGCACCGGCUAACUCCGUGCCAGCCGCCGCGGUAAUUC